rnacentral:lncRNA from 1 species
CUCAGAUUCUCAAACACUCUUCUCACUCUCUGUCUCGCUCUCACGAACACUUUUCUCUUCUCACUUGUUGUCUUUGUUUUUUCCAAUUGGGAGUUAAAGGUAAAUAUGUUGAGUACUAAGUUUGAUUGUUAUUAAUUUUCUGUUAUUGUAAUCUUGUUUGUUGAUUGAUGGUAAUUGAAAUUUAAAACUAUAAUCCUAUUGAAUUGGCUUAUAAUAGAGUUAAUUGAAUACGAUUGAUUGAUCUUUGUUCCACUUCUUAGUUUGUAUUUUGCCUACCGUAAUUGAUUGAAAAUAUGUAAUACUACUGAUUGUAAGCUGUUGUUACUAUAUGCAUUCACUUUUUCCUUUUUGUAUUUGUUUUCUAUACUUGUUUUUUUGGAUUAAUUAAUCUAUAUUCUUGUUUAAAAAACUUUUUGCUAACAUAAAUUUUUGUUUAUAUAUCAGAGUUUAAUUUUCUGGUCCACCCAAGAUAUGUUUUCUGGCUGUGCCACUAUGGAUUUCAACACGAGACAUUUGAUUAAACUAGAAGAUAGAUAAAGACAUCUAAUAAUUUUGUCAAUGAUGAAGCUGUAAAAAAGUAAAUAAAUAUAACUUACCAAUAAUGAUGUAGGAAGAAGCAAAAGAUAAAGACACCCACCAAAUUUAUCUCCUAAAAGAAAAAGAU